UGCACCAAAUUGGGAAAUUUAUACAUUAAAUUCUAACCAUAACCCACAUCCACGCUUAAUUCAUUUUUAUAACAACGAAGGAGGGCAGGAAAUAAUUCAGACAACAGAUGCUAACGUGCGCCGAUUGAAACUUUAACGCCUUUGAGACAGUGUCAGUGGGGUAUGGUUCUUUUGCCACACAAUUGUCAACGUCACUAUGCUAUUGUGUGCCACCAGUGCGCACAUUAACAGAGAGCACCACCAAAAACGCUGGUAUUCUUUGAUUAGAUAUGUAACUACAAGCUUAAUUUAUGAAUAUCAAUGGCGUGGCAGGAAACACUAUGAUCCUGUUCAUCUUACAGAUCCAGAUAAUUCGUCACUACAAAUUACAUAAUUUUUUAUAGGCAUUUUCUUAUUUGAAUCUCUGUUUUUAGCAAGAAUUUAAUAGAUCAAGGUAAAACAGAAACAGAAAUGGAAAAAUAAUGGCACGUAUUACCAGAUCAGGAUGCACAUUACUGAUUCAGCACUAUAAAGGACAGCAAAAACCAAAACUAUGAAGGAAAUAGAAUUUAGAAAUGUACCUCAUCGUUAAGUGAAGCAGGAGUUGGAGAGACGGAAUCGGCACUAGGUCCGGGGGCUUCGGUUGGAGGUGCGGGUGGGCUUAACAGCUCCGGAGCCGGAGCAGGUGAAGGUGAAGUGUGCUUCUUGCCCUUCUUCUUGCUGUGAGCCGGAGCCUUAGCCGGAGUCUCACUCGGGGGCGCAGAAGCCGGAGCUGGUGGUGUGGCCGCCUUGGGAGCCGGAGAUGGUGGAGACUGGACUGGAGCAGCCGUAGGUGGUGAGCUGACUGGCUCCGGAGCUGGAGGCGAGCUCACUGGUUAUUAAUUUUUCAACCAUAUUUUUUCAAUUUUUAUCAAAUAAUUGAGUUAUGAAUAAUCAAAUAAUAAUACAAUAACAGAAGAUGACAAUGACAGUCAAUACAAAAAGUACAACUCUCCCCUCAAACUGUAUGCCAAAGAAUACUAAAAUCCCCAAUCGGAUCCGAAUCAAACCCGGAUGUUUCACAAGCAUAUAAACAGACAAACUAUAAAUAUGUUAAAUGAAGAUGGGUUUGGGGACAAAAGUUUUCCGAAAUAAUCGUGUUUUCUAGAAGAGGAGCCAGCCAAACACGGCCCCUCCCAACACCAAACUUCCCAGCAGCUUCUGCAACCCCAUCAAUUUCUCUGCUCCACUCUGCACCAAAAUGGGAAAUUUAUACAUUAAAUUCUAACCAUAACCCACAUGCACGCUUAAUUCAUUUUUAUAACAACGAAGGAGGGCAGGAAUUAAUUCAGACAACAGAUGCUAACGUGCGCCGAUUGAAACUUUAACGCCUUUGAGACGAUGUCAGUGGGGUAUGGUUCUUUUGCCACACAAUUGUUAACGUCACUAUGCUAUUGUGUGCCACCAGUGCGCACAUUAACAGAGAGCACCACCAAAAACGCUGGUAUUCUUUGAUUAGAUAUGUAACUACAAGCUUAAUUUAUGAAUAUCAAUGGCGUGGCAGAAACACUAUGAUCCUGUUCAUCUUACAGAUCCAGAAAAUUCGUCACUACAAAUUACAUAAUUUUUUAUAGGCAUUGUCUUAUUUGAAUCUCUGUUUUUAGCAAGAAUUUAAUAGAUCAAGGUAAAACAGAAACAGAAAUGGAAAAAUAAUGGCACGUAUUACCAGAUCAAGAUGCACAUUACUGAUUCAGCACUAUAAAGGACAGCAAAAACCAAAACUAUGAAGGAAAUAGAAUUUAGAAAUGUACCUCAUCGUUAAGUGAAGUAGGAGUUGGAGAGACGGAAUCGGCGCUAGGUCCGGGGGCUUCGGUUGGAGGUGCGGGUGGGCUUGACAGCUCCGGAGCCGGAGCAGGUGAAGGUGAAGUGUGCUUCUUGCCCUUCUUCUUGCUGUGAGCCGGAGCCUUAGCCGGAGUCUCACUCGGGGGCGCAGAAGCCGGAGCUGGUGGUGUGGCCGCCUCGGGAGCCGGAGAUGGUGGAGACUGGACUGGAGCAGCCGUA
rnacentral:lncRNA from 1 species